UACGGGGGGGGCAAGCGUUGUUCGGAAUUACUGGGCGUAAGGGGCCAGUAGGCGGCCAACUAAGUCCGACGUGAAAUCCCUCGGCUUAACCGGGGAACUGCGUCUGAUACUGGAUGGCUUGAGUUCGGGAGAGGGAUGCGGAAUUCCAGGUGUAGCGGUGAAAUGCGUAGAUAUCUGGAGGAACACCGGUGGCGAAGGCGGCAUCCUGGGCCGACACUGACGCUGAGGAGCGAAAGCCAGGGGAGCAAACGGG
rnacentral:rRNA from 1 species